AACGAACGCUGGCGGCAGGCCUAACACAUGCAAGUCGAACGCACCGCAAGGUGAGUGGCGCACGGGUGAGUAACACGUGGGAAUGUACCCUUUGGUUCGGAAUAACGUCUGGAAACGGACGCUAAUACCGGAUGAGCCCUGCGGGGGAAAGAUUUAUCGCCAAAGGAGCAGCCCGCGUCUGAUUAGCUAGUUGGGGGGGUAAAGGCCUACCAAGGCGACGAUCAGUAGCUGGUCUGAGAGGAUGAUCAGCCACACUGGGACUGAGACACGGCCCAGACUCCUACGGGAGGCAGCAGUGGGGAAUAUUGGACAAUGGGCGAAAGCCUGAUCCAGCCAUGCCGCGUGAGUGAUGAAGGCCUUCGGGUUGUAAAGCUCUUUCGCACGCGACGAUGAUGACGGUAGCGUGAGAAGAAGCCCCGGCUAACUUCGUGCCAGCCGCCGCGGUAAAAC
rnacentral:rRNA from 1 species